GAUGAACGCUGGCGGCGUGCCUAAUACAUGCAAGUCGAGCGAACAGACGAGGAGCUUGCUCCUCUGACGUUAGCGGCGGACGGGUGAGUAACACGUGGAUAACCUACCUAUAAGACUGGGAUAACUUCGGGAAACCGGAGCUAAUACCGGAUAAUAUAUUGAACCGCAUGGUUCAAUAGUGAAAGACGGUUUUGCUGUCACUUAUAGAUGGAUCCGCGCCGCAUUAGCUAGUUGGUAAGGUAACGGCUUACCAAGGCAACGAUGCGUAGCCGACCUGAGAGGGUGAUCGGCCACACGGGAACUGAGACACGGUCCAGACUCCUACGGGAGGCAGCAGUAGGGAAUCGUGCGCAAUGGGCGAAAGCCUGACGGAGCAACGGCGCGUGAGUGAUGAAGGUCCUCGGAUCGUAAAACUCUGUUAGUAGGGAAGAACAAAUGUGUAAGUAACUAUGCACGUCUUGACGGUACCUAAGCAGAAAGCCACGGCUAACUACGUG
rnacentral:rRNA from 1 species